rnacentral:rRNA from 1 species
AUACAGAGGGUGCGAGCGUUAAUCGGAAUUACUGGGCGUAAAGCGCGCGUAGGCGGCUUAUUAAGUCAGAUGUGAAAUCCCCGGGCUCAACCUGGGAACUGCAUCUGAUACUGGUAAGCUAGAGUUUUGGAGAGGGAAGUAGAAUUUCAGGCGUAGCGGUGAAAUGCAUAGAGAUCUGAAGGAAUACCAGUGGCGAAGGCGACUUCCUGGCCAAAAACUGACGCUGAGGUGCGAAAGCGUGGGUAGCAAACGGGAUUAGAAACCCCGGUAGUCC